AUACGUAGGUGGCAAGCGUUGUCCGGAAUUAUUGGGCGUAAAGUGCGCGCAGGCGGUCCUUUAAGUCUGAUGUGAAAGCCCACGGCUCAACCGUGGAGGGUCAUUGGAAACUGGGGGACUUGAGUGCAGAAGAGGAAAGUGGAAUUCCAAGUGUAGCGGUGAAAUGCGUAGAGAUUUGGAGGAACACCAGUGGCGAAGGCGACUUUCUGGUCUGUAACUGACACUGAGGCGCGAAAGCGUGGGGAGCAAACAGGAUUAGAUACCCUGGUAGUCCACGCCGUAAACGAUGAGUGCUAAGUGUUAGGGGGUUUCCGCCCCUUAGUGCUGCAGCUAACGCAUUAAGCACUCCGCCUGGGGAGUACGGUCGCAAGACUGAAACUCAAAUGAAUUGACGGGG
rnacentral:rRNA from 1 species